rnacentral:misc_RNA from 1 species
AGAAGUGGCUUCAUUAUAUCUUCUAAGAAGUAGCAGCAGUGUCUGAUUUCUUUUUAGAUUAUGCCCUUAGAUAAGUUUUUAUAUUCUGUAUAUUCAGUUUAUGAAGCUGAAGUAUUUCUGAUACCAACAAUGUUGGAAGUAAACCACAAUUUUGGAUAGGCUUCAGUUAUUUGGAAGAUUUUUCUCAUUGAACUUUUGAUUCAGAUAUUGUUGUAAUGCAGAAGGAUUGAAAACAGAAUCAGUUAUAAUACUGUCUCUUCUAAAGGGUGAUAUUUUAUCUAUUUUCUGUGCUCUUUUUCCUAGGUUGUGUAUUCUUCCUGUGCCUGGGGAUCUUUUAUAUGUUUCGCCCAAAUAUCUCCUUUGUGGCCCCUCUGCAAGAGAAGGUGGUCUUUGGAUUAUUUUUCUUAGGAGCCAUUCUCUGCCUUUCUUUUUCAUGGCUCUUCCACACAGUCUACUGCCACUCAGAGGGGGUCUCUCGGCUCUUCUCUAAACUGGAUUACUCUGGUAUUGCUCUUCUGAUUAUGGGAAGUUUUGUUCCUUGGCUUUAUUAUUCUUUCUACUGUAAUCCA